AUAUAGACCUGUAUAGCCCCAUAUAGACCUACAUGGAGGCCUGCGUGGCCAGCUGGUACGAGCAGGUCAGAGCGCCCCCUGGUGGUAAACACCGGUACUGCACCCCAUAGAGACCCAUAGGGACCCAUAGAGCCCCAUAGAGACCCAUAUAGACCUACAUGGAGGCCUGCGUGGCCAGCUGGUACGAGCAGGGUCUCCUGGAGUCGCUGCAGCGCCACAAACUGAUUUUCAUUGAGACGCCGGAUGGAGCCGAGACCAGCGUCGCACUGGAGAAAUACCAGGAGGCGUGUGAGAACGGCCGUGGUGCUGUGCUGCUCUCGGUGGCGCGAGGAAAAGUGUCCGAGGGCGUCGACUUCGGUAAUGGGGGAAAUGGG